CCCCCGUUGUGCACAACAUUUGGUCAUUCCCAUGUCACCUGCAGAAGCUGUACUCCCUGUCACGACAAAAAGAAUCCAUUGAUGUUGAAGGUCGGUGAUCCAACUCCUGCACCAGAACAACGAACCCUCGAGGACAGUCCGCGGCCACGUCACUCCCGGCGGCAGAAUUCAGCGCUGAGCUGCAGACACAGCUUUCCCCUUCAAAGCCGAUUCACCUCGCACAGUCCGGUCCGCUAUUACACAAAGUAUACAUUUCAGACAAUACGCUGGAAAGUCUCCGGUUUGGAUCCCGUUUUCCUUGCUUUACAGAGAGCUACCAUUACGUUUACCUCCCUCUACAACCAGCAUGGAAAAGAACAACGUGUACAGCGCAGUCCUGCUGCCACCUAGAGGAAUUUACCACCAACCGUUUCAUCACUG
ensembl:lncRNA